rnacentral:rRNA from 1 species
GACGAACGCUGGCGGCGUGCCUAAUACAUGCCAGUCGAGCGAGCGGAACUAACAGAUUUACUUCAGUAAUGACGUUAGGAAAGCGAGCGGCGGAUGGGUGAGUAACACGCGGGGAACCUGCCCCAUAGUCUGGGAUACCACUUGGAAACAGGUGCUAAUACCGGAUAAGAAAGCAGAUCGCAUGAUCAGCUUUUAAAAGGCGGCGUAAGCUGUCGCUAUGGGAUGGCCCCGCGGUGCAUUAGCUAGUUGGUAAGGUAAAGGCUUACCAAGGCGAUGAUGCAUAGCCGAGUUGAGAGAAUGAUCGGCCACAUUGGGACUGAGACACGGCCCAAACUCCUACGGGAGGCAGCAGUAGGGAAUCUUCCACAAUGGACGCAAGUCUGAUGGAGCAACGCCGCGUGAGUGAAGAAGGUUUUCGGAUCGUAAAGCUCUGUUGUUGGUGAAGAAGGAUAGAGGUAGUAACUGGCCUUUAUUUGACGGUAAUCAAACAGAAAGUCACGGCUAACUACGUG